UACGAACGCUGGCGGCAGGCUACCACAUGCUGAUCGAACGAGAAGCCCCUUCGGGAGUGGACAGUGGCAGACGGGUGAGUAACGCGUGGGAAUCUACCCUAGGGUCUGGGACAACUACUGGAAACGGUGGCUAAUACCGGAUACGCUCGUAAGAGGAAAGAUUUAUUGCCCUUGGAUGAGCCCGCGAUAAGAUUAGCUUGUUGGUGAGGUAACGGCUCACCAAGGCUACGAUCUUUAGCUGGUCUGAGAGGAUGAUCAGCCACAUUGGGACUGAGACACGGCCCAGACUCCUACGGGAGGCAGCAGUGGGGAAUAUUGCGCAAUGGGGGAAACCCUGACGCAGCCAUGCCGCGUGAAUGACGAAGGCCUUAGGGUUGUAAAGUUCUUUCAAUGGGGAAGAUAAUGACGGUACCCAUAAAAGAAGCCCCGGCUAACUCCGUGCCAGCAGCCGCGGUAAUACGGAGGGGGCUAGCGUCGUUCGGAAUCACUGGGC
rnacentral:rRNA from 1 species